UUUGAUUUGGUCACCUUAUGCCUUAACCAGCAGAAUUUAGCGAAGCCCCAAACUACAAUGGAAACAGAGGACAUGAGGGGGUGGUAAAACCAACACCAUUGCCACCACUCCACCGCUCCACAGCAACAGCCAUCGCCACCGCUAACUCUACCAAACCCUCACUCCUCCAUCAAAAUCCCUAAUUCCGAUGGUGUCAGUGAACAAGCUGUCUCUUUCGCAAACAUCAUCUUCGCUUCCAAUGCCGUCGUUUUUCUCAUCUUCACAUUCUUCAUCACUUUUUUCCUCUAGAAUGUCUAUGGCUUCCAAUGAUUCUCGCCCUAAAAUUUUCUCCCAAAACAGCGUUGUAAGCUUAUAAUGGUUUCUCAUAAGCACACACUUAUAUAAUAUGUACAUAUGCUCUGUUUGGUUUGAUGUUUAGCUUGAGAGAUGUGAUAUGGCUGAACCUGUAAAUGUUGGGAAUGGAAAGCCCAGUAUUCCAAUCCUUAAUGAACGGACUCUACCCAAGUUCCUGGAAUCUGCACGCAUUGAGAAAAAAAAUUAACAAAAAUAGUAGCAGGCUGAAAUUGUUUUCUGGGUCAGCAAAUCCUGCUCUUUCUCAGGAUAUUGCUUGGUAUAUGGGCCUGGAACUGGGAAAGAUCAACAUAAAACGGUUUGCUGAUGGUGAAAUUUAUGUUCAAUUGCAAGAGAGUGUUAGAGGAUGUGAUGUAUAUCUAUUACAGCCCACCUGCCCUCCAGCAAAUGAGAAUCUCAUGGAGCUUUUGAUCAUGAUAGAUGCUUGUAGGAGAGCUUCAGCCAAGAACAUCACUGCUGUGAUUCCCUAUUUUGGAUAUGCCAGAGCUGAUAGAAAGGCAAGUUUUAUGGCUUGAGAUAUUUCAAGAUCAUAAGUUGCAAACAUAUAUAUGGAAAAUUAGCAUAUGUUUGGUCAUGGAAACCAACUUCUUGUUGGGUUUCUGUGUUUAAGAUUAUUAAUUGGCAUGAUAAGCAGCUACUUAAAUAUAUUUUUCUUUCUUUCUUUUCUGGAAAAAGAGAAUAGGUUCCAAGGUAUCUGGAUAUGGAAGGAAAUCAUUAGUUUUGGGAGGGUUUAACUCCGUUUUCAUCUUUAUGCUUUACUCAUUAGAGUUUUGAUGAAGUUGAUUAUAUACAACCUUUUGUAUGAUAAGGAGUGUAUUUUUUUUUAGUGCAUUUUAAGGAAUGACCUCCCUAAAUAUACACAGAUUGGAUCGUGAUUUUUUUUUUGAGAUACUAAAAACAUUAUGUACUCUUUGUCAGUAGACUUUCUUAUAAUUGCAGAGUCAAGGUCGUGAAUCAAUUGCAGCCAAACUUGUUGCAAACCUUAUCACCAAAGCAGGAGCAAAUCGCGUUCUUGCUUGUGAUAUUCAUUCUGGGCAGUCUAUGGGUUAUUUUGAUAUCCCUGUUGACCAUUUGUACUGUCAGCCUGUGAUUCUUGAUUAUCUUGCAAGCAAGACAGUUUGUUCCAAUGAUUUGGUGGUGGUUUCUCCUGAUGUUGGUGGAGUUGCAAGAGCUCGUGCUUUUGCAAAAAAGUUGUCUGAUGCCCCUUUAGCUAUUGUGGACAAAAGGCGUCAGGGACACAAUGUUGCUGAGGUGAUGAACCUUAUUGGUGAUGUAAAAGGAAAGGUUGCAGUUAUUGUGGAUGACAUGAUUGACACUGCUGGGACAAUUGCAAAAGGAGCAGCCCUCUUACAUCAAGAAGGAGCCAGGGAAGUCUAUGCAUGCUGCACUCAUGCUGUUUUUAGGUAUUCAUUUUACAACAUUUUAUUUUGCUUUUUUGGUUGUCUAUAUAAUCUAUUUCAAGUUUUCCCAUUUAUAUUUUUCAGCAACUUGGAGAAUAUUGAAUUUAACACUAUUAGAACUCUCACCAUUUUAUCAGCAAAUUUCUUAUUUUGUUUUUUAGAUCAAAAUUUUAGUACAUAUGGUGGUGCAAACUUUGUUAAUCAAAUGUUAAUGGCAACUGUUGUCUUUCUGUUUUUAUUCUCCCCAAAAAUAUUUUCAUUGUAAGUAUCAAUUUUUAAGAAAGCUUCCAUUUUUUUCUUAUGUCAAUGUUUUUAAAGUUUGCUAGAGUCGCAUUGUAUUGUUGUGAAAAUGAAUAUUUUAGCGCCUCUGUUCACCAGUACAUUGUUAAAAAUUUCAAAUGUUUGUUUUGGUUUACUUGCCUUGUGUAAUUGUAUGGCAGUGAAUGUACUAAUGCAAUAUGUGAUUAUAGUAUUUGUGAGUGUCUCAUUCAUAUUAUUUAACCCUUUUUUUCCCUCUUGGUAGCCCUCCAGCCAUUGAGAGGCUGUCAAGUGGCCUAUUUCAAGAAGUGAUAAUUACAAACACAAUUCCAGUGGCUGAGAAGAACUAUUUCCCUCAAUUGACUGUUCUAUCAGUAGCUAAUCUAUUGGGCGAAACAAUUUGGCGUGUUCAUGAUGAUUGCUCUGUGAGUAGCAUUUUUCAAUGAAUAACUUAGGAAUGUCCAAUGGCGAUACCACUCAACUCAACUAAGCCUUAGUUCAAAACUGAUCAAAGCUGGUUUCCUCCAUUCAACUCUGAUUAUGUUCAAAUUUACUAUUAGCCAUUACUAUCCAAUGAUGUGGGUCCUUCUAAUUUAUUCAUGGAUAUCGCUGCAAAGGUGGCUUCAAAACUAUACAAGGACAAGAAAAUCGUUUAUCGGUUUCUAAUACAUUCCCUUUUAAACAUCUUUUCAUAAAUUGAUAAUUGUCCAACAUAUUAUUAUUGUUUCCUGUACGAAGGCUAGAUCAGAUGAUUAUUCAUCUGCUUCUACAUUGUGUCAUGAAUUGAUCCUUAAGUUAGCUUGCUCAACUGCUGAUGUUUCAGUACUUUUGAUGUGGUAAAAUGUCAUUUGCUUUCUACAUGAACCUCUGAACAAUUAUGUUUUAAUAAGUUAUUAUUAGUAACGGGAAAGUUUUAGCUGAUGAUUUUUCCCUUCAUGUUUUUAGCCAAUUGAACAAAGGUAGUAGGGCUGUGUAUGGUUUUUUUGGGAGAACUGAACUGAACUGAAGAAUCGUAGCGAACCG
rnacentral:misc_RNA from 1 species